rnacentral:tmRNA from 2 species
GGGGCCGUAACGGUUUCGACGUUUUAACGAAAGUCACUCUGUGAUUCAGACCGAGAGGGAGUCUACUCUCGUUAAUCCAGGCUCAAAACAAACGUAACUGCGAACAACAUCGUUCCUUUUGCUCGCAAAGCUGCACCUGUUGCUGCUUAGAAACUAACUAGUUCGCGAGCGUCUGCGAUUUGACUCCGUUAAGGAUUGCGGACCAAACCCCAACGGAUGCUCCUUAGGUUUUCCUCUGGUGGUACCUAAGGCUAAGACUACGCCAGAGCAUCCCACCGCUAGGGAUAAUUAGCGGUUCCCGCCUUGAGGGUCAGAGAGGCUAAGUCUGUGAACGAAUGGAGUGUUACUACUUGAAGCGGACACGGGUUCGACUCCCGUCGGCUCCAUUU